GAUUCAAGGAGGAAGACCUGGCAUGGCUUGGAGAUAUUGGAACUUGCUGAGUGCGUGCUGUCAGCUCUCUGGGUCAGAAAUGCAUGAGGAACUCUGUUAAUCUUUCACAGAAUCAUUUAAGAUGGAAAAAAACCUCGAAGAGCAUCGAGUCCAAUCUUUGACUGACUGAUCACCACCCUGUCAACUAAACCACAGAACUAAGUGCUGUGUCCAGUCAUUUCUUGAACACCUCCAUAGACAAAAGCUGGCUGGGAGUUGCUGAUCAUGCUCAUGGGCAGACUGGGUAUCAUUUAGAAGGUGUGUGAACACCAUGCAAAUCCUGAUGCAGAUUGGCCUCACUGAUUUUUGCUGUUGACAAAGUGAGAGAAGACGCAUGUCAUAAGAGACCUGAGCUGCUCUGAGGAAGCUGAAAUGCAUUUGAGGGAUCCUUCUGGGGAAUGGUAUUUAUGGAAUCGGAAGGGUUCUCCCUUAUGGCUGUAUCAUAAGCACAGGUUAGAAGAGAUCACACAGCCCCUGUGCACUUCUGAAGCGUGCUUAGACCCUUACUUGUCCCAGAUGUUAUCAUAGAAAUGAAAAAAGAAAACAUCUGAAUCUCAGAUAUUGGGUAAAUUCCAGAUAACAAUGUGCAAUUCUGACCUCAUUAAUAUUUGGAAUUUUGGUCAAGUAUGCAUGCCAUAUGCCUCCACCUCCAGCAUCUCACUUCAAUGGAAAGAAAAAACCCAUCAAGUUACCACUGGAAACAAAUUAUGGAAUACUCAACCUUUUGAUACUUCCCCAUCUCAAAUGAAAAGGGCUCACAUGAAGUAUUAUGAGAGGGAUUUGUGCUCUUCUGAGUUUAAUUGUAUUACUGUGUCAUAAUUACUUAUUGGUUAAUGUACAUCAAAUUCCUCCUUUUGUCCUAGUCAGUGAACUCAAAGUCAAUACGAGGCUGGAGUUGAUAAUAAAGAGUAGCUCAUCUAGUACUGUCAUCUCAGACCUCGAAUUUGAUGUGAUUAUUUUAAUCCCAUUGCUAUUUCUUUAUUCCUUAGUCACCCUCAUCUUUCUGUCAAAUAUUUUAACUAUUUAGUACUAAUGACAUCUUCCAACUUUGUGUCAACGGUAAAAUGAGGUAACAUAUUUUUCCUACUUUUACGAACUUUGCUAAUGAAUUUGUUCAAUAGAAAUCAUCCUACACCAGAUCAUUAAGAAAAUGGUAUGUUAAUUUCUCUUAACACAUUACUCAGCUUUCAAUACAGCCAGCUGACUUCUGUCUCCUCUCUUCAAAGUCUUAGCUGAACCUCAUUAUCUCCAAUCUAGUUUCCAAACUUCCCAGUAUGCAGUGCUUGAGAUUCAGAUAAAAUAUAAUUUUAGAUAAAUGAAAUGUAACAGAUUUUUCCAGAAAAAUAAAUUAUCAGGAUGCUGGUCUGCUAUGAAAUAGCCAUGGUGAAUACUUCACAUUUUCAUUCCUUGUCUUGUACGUCUCCAAAAUAAAAUCAGCAUUUGCAUGAUACUACUAUAGUUUGAAUAGUAUUUAAAACAUUCAGUAGUGAAAUCAUAAUUUUACUGUCAGUUCAUUUAGUAGUGUGGCAUAGAAAACAUCUAUAUCCUCUUUCAUUAAUCUCAUACUCAUUUCUUCUCCUCUCCCCAAAGCCAAAAGGAAUCAUUCGACAUACUCCAAAAGAACAUUAAAAACGACUUACACUAACUUUUGGGCAGCCAUGCUAGAAGCCAAUAAGGACUUUUAUUCUGACUUUUCAUCUCUUUUUCUUUCAUCCAUUCCUAGAUAUUGACUUCCAGUAUCUUCUUAUUCUUGUCUUCCUUGCAAUGAAUUUCUUUUUGUACCUUCUUCCUUCUGCAUGUUUUUUAACUUCUUAUUAUUCUAUUUGUGUAGUAACAAAUAGUCUGAAGUGGCUACUGAAAAAGGAAUCAUGACACUAAGAAAUGCAAGAAGAAGAAUACUUUUCUUCACUAUAGAUCAAGCAUGAAGCUUGGUACACUGACUGUCCCCUGCAAUAUGAGGCUGCACCAUCUAUGAUUUUUUAUUUGGGCAGGUUUAUUUUUUGAUUUGGUCAAGUUUAUUUGGGAUAGGACAAGAAGUAUUGGGUACAAAUAAAAAGAGGGGAAAUUUAGGUUAGAUAAUAGGAAGAAAUUUUUUGCUUU